GUUUGUGACUGCUAAAAAGUCAAGUACAGAUGAUAGAUAGGCAAUUCAUUCUGAUGGUUAAGAGUGGUCCAUUCACAGGACAAAAAGGGAGUCCACUAAAGAGACCCUGGGUGCUCAAUACGAGGAGCAGAGUGAGCUCGUGUAUGGGAUGUGCGCUACGGAUGUAUAUAACAUGGCCCCAGAUAAGAGAGGCUUUACCAACAGAAUCUGGAAACACAGAUACCACAGUGCAUCUGUUGGGAGAGCCCCUCCUACCUGUUUGAAGAAGUAAUAUGAUUCCCUUUGUAUUUCCCUGUCUGAGUAAAUCAUUUUUGAGCCCAGGAUUCUUUAGAAAUUCUCCCACUUCAAUGAUUUCAAUUUCUAAGCAUUUAUCAAGCUAGUGCUAUGGGUCAGUCUUAUGUAAUUGACAUGGAAGACAAAGAUGAAUAACAUGGUUCUCAGACUCAAGUAGUUUUCGAAAAUCUGCCACGUGUUAAACAACAAGCAACUGGAUCCCAUCUUUCCUCACCGUUGUACCCAUGGAGAAGUUCAAGAGCGCUUUAAAAUACCUUGCAACUAGAAGUUUCCCAUGGAGACACUGACAGUACGGUGAUCAUGGUUGCCGCUAACUUAAAUAAUAACUUACCGUUGUGUAUCACUUAUUUGGUUUUACAAGAUACUCUUUCGUGCUUUAUGGACCUCAGCCCUAUGAGCCUUCUUCUAAGUGUGGUAAAUUUUUUCUGCUUUGAUUCACUGUGCUUUGUCGACACUGCUUUUGUUUAUUUGUUUACAGAUCGAAGGCUACUGGCAACCGUGAGUUAAGCACAUUUCUUGUUGCCAUUUUUCCAGCAGCAUAUGCUCAUGUUGUGUCUCUGUGUCAAAUAUUGAUAAUUCUCAUGAUAUUUCAGGCGUUUUUAUUAUUGUAUCUGUUAUAGUGUCUGUAAUCAGUGGUCUCUGAUGUUACCAUGAACCAAGUCCAUAGAAGAUGGCAAACUUAAUCCAUAAAUGUUGUAUGUAUUCUGGCUCAUCCACUGACUGGUCAUUCCUUCUCUUCUGGUCUGUCUAUUCCCACAGACAACAAUAUUGAAAUUAGGACAAUCAGUAACCCUACCAUGGCCUCUAAGUGGAAGAAAGAGUGAAAGGAAGUGAAGAGAAAGAAGUGAAAGGAAGAAUGGCAUGUCCCUCUCUUUAAGUGAAAAUCUACAAAUGAUUAAGCUUAGUGUGAGAGUUAUGUC
rnacentral:lncRNA from 13 species